CUCACGCGGUUCGUUUCAGGAUUGAAUCGGUCAAAUCGGGGUACACCGAAUACAGUACAGACAUAUUGAUUUCUCUCUCAUUCUGCUUGUUCAUUCUCUCUAGGUCUAUGGCCAACCCUCAGAUUCGCUGCUGGUUUUCUCAGGUGGAACUGAAAUUAAUGGCGUCGUUGAAGAGAUGAAAAAGUUGUUUCUGAUGACGGAUGAAGAACUGCAGAAAUUGUUAAGUGUACUUGCUGUUGGAGGCAUUAGAUGAAUUUCGAUCGAGGCGUUUGAGAUUGUCAGAUGAAAUCACUGAAGCUCUUGCUGUAUGAAGAUUGGGUGGACACCGUUACAUCUUGAUUGAGAACCCGGGAAAUCAGAAUGGUUCCGUGGUUGUGGGACUGUUGAAUUAGUGUGCUGAGUUCAUAAUUUGACAGGUAUGAUUUUGCUGAAGGAGAGCACCCUCUAUUGAACGGUGUAUCAAAACCCCAACGAGAAACCAUCAGAGCCCUUUUGGCUUAUUUCCAAAAUCAGGUUCCCAAAUAUUCUUCCAGUCUUUAGAUGCUGCAGUACUCUUGUUUUCACGUGUUACAAAUAUUCCGGCAGAAAGUCUCGUUCUCCCUGUGAUAUCCACAAAUGACAGACUUACGUUGGGAUGUGAAUUAUGGGAUGGAACCAUAAUACAUGGGCAAGAACAAAUAUUGAAUCUAUUGGAUCUAUUCAACCUGUUGAUAAGGUAUUUCCCAAUUUUGGUAAUAAAUUAUUUUUAUUUUUUUUCAUUCUUCCCUGCUCUAUUUAAAUAAGUUCUACUCCAUAUUACCAAAGAGCUCAGUGAGGCCUCAAGUUUAUCAUUUUAUCUGCCAGUACGCGUGAUAGUACCAUAUCGAGCAGUAUAAUCAUGUUUUGACCCGUUAAAAAAGCUCACUUUAUGAACCUUGAUUCAUUGUUUCUUUCAUGGUCAUGGUUUUUUAUCUAUUAAAAAUUCUGCUUG